rnacentral:rRNA from 1 species
AGUGAACGCUGGCGGUAGGCCUAACACAUGCAAGUCGAACGGCAGCACAGUAAGAGCUUGCUCUUACGGGUGGCGAGUGGCGGACGGGUGAGGAAUACAUCGGAUUCUACUUUUUCGUGGGGGAUAACGUAGGGAAACUUACGCUACUACCGCAUACGACCUACGGGUGAAAGCAGGGGUUCUUCGGACCUUGCGCGAUUCAAUGAGCCGAUGUCGGAUUAGCUAGUUGGCGAGGUAAAGGCCCACCAAGGCGACGAUCCGUAGCUGGUCUGAGAGGAUGAUCAGCCACACUGGAACUGAGACACGGUCCAGACUCCUACGGGAGGCAGCAGUAGGGAAUAUUGGACAAUGGGCGCAAGCCUGAUCCAGCCAUACCGCGUGAGUGAAGAAGGCCUUCGGGUUGUAAAGCCCUUUUAUUAGGAAAGAAAAACAGCAGAUUAAUACCCCGCUGUUCUGACGGUACCCAAAGAGUAAGCACCGGCUAACUUCGUG